AUGUUUUUCCUCCAAAACCACUUUCAAUCUAUUUGUAUAGCAGACCCUCAUGCCAAAUUGAGUCAAAAGCUUUUUCGAAAUCAACAAAGCAGGAGAAGACUUUUGGCUUUUUUUCUAGUCUCUCUCUCUUCUAUUCUCUCUCUCUUCUAUUCCCUCUCUCUCUCUUCUAUUCCCUCUCUCUUCUAUUCACUCUCUCUCUCUCUCCUAUUCCAUCUCUCUCUCUCUUCUAUUCCCCCUCUCUCUCCUAUUCCAUCUCCCUCUCUCUCUUCUAUUCCCUCUCUCUCCUAUUCCAUCUCUCUCUCUCUUCUAUUCCCUCUCUCUCCUAUUCCAUCUCCCUCUCUCUCUUCUAUUCCCUCUCUCUCCUAUUCCAUCUCCCUCUCUCUCUUCUAUUCCCUCUCUCUCCUAUUCCAUCUCUCUCUCUCUUCUAUUCCCUCUCUCUCCUAUUCCAUCUCUCUCUCUCUUCUAUUCCCUCUCUCUCCUAUUCCAUCUCUCUCUCUCUUCUAUUCCCUCUCUCUCCUAUUCCAUCUCUCUCUCUCUUCUAUUCCCUCUCUCCUAUUCCAUCUCUCUCUCUCUUAUAUUCCCUCUCUCUCCUAUUCCAUCUCCCUCUCUCUCUUCUAUUCCCUCUCUCUCCUAUUCCAUCUCUCUCUCUCUUCUAUUCCCUCUCUCUCCUAUUCCAUCUCUCUCUCUCUUCUAUUCCCUCUCUCUCCUAUUCCAUCUCCCUCUCUCUUCUAUUCCCUCUCUCUCCUAUUCCAUCUCUCUCUCUCUUCUAUUCCCUCUCUCUCCUAUUCCAUCUCUCUCUCUCUUCUAUUCCCUCUCUCUCCUAUUCCAUCUCUCUCUCUUCUAUUCCCUCUCUCUCCUAUUCCAUCUCCCUCUCUCUUAUAUUCCCUCUCUCUCCUAUUCCAUCUCUCUCUCUCUUCUAUUCCCUCUCUCUCCUAUUCCAUCUCUCUCUCUCUUCUAUUCCCUCUCUCUCCUAUUCCAUCUCUCUCUCUCUUCUAUUCCCUCUCUCUCCUAUUCCAUCUCCCUCUCUCUCUUCUAUUCCCUCUCUCUCCUAUUCCAUCUCCCUCUCUCUCUUCUAUUCCCCCUCUCUCCUAUUCCAUCUCUCUCUCUCUUCUAUUCCCUCUCUCUCCUAUUCCAUCUCUCUCUCUCUUCUAUUCCCUCUCUCUCCUAUUCCAUCUCCCUCUCUCUUCUAUUCCCUCUCUCUCCUAUUCCAUCUCUCUCUCUCUUCUAUUCCCUCUCUCUCCUAUUCCAUCUCUCUCUCUCUUCUAUUCCCUCUCUCUCCUAUUCCAUCUCUCUCUCUCUUCUAUUCCCUCUCUCUCCUAUUCCAUCUCUCUCUCUCUUCUAUUCCCUCUCUCUCCUAUUCCAUCUCCCUCUCUCUCUUCUAUUCCCUCUCUCUCCUAUUCCAUCUCUCUCCUCUAUUUCCCCUCUCUCUUUUCUAUUCCCUCUCUCUCUUUAUUAUUCCCUCUCUCUCUUCUAUUCUCUCUCUCUCUCACUUUUCUAUUCUAUUCCCUCUCUCUCUCUUUUCUAUUCUCUCUCUCUUCUCUCCCUUGGUCUUUCUUUCCCCUUGUCCCCUUUCUUUCUUUUUCUCUUUCUUUGUCUGACCUGUGUGUGUUUUGGAUCAGGCCUGUGUUUGUGUGUUCUAGUUCUGACCUGUGUGUGUUUUGGAUCAGGCCUGUGUUUGUGUGUUCUAGUUCUGACCUGUGUGUGUUUUGGAUCAGGCCUGUGUUUGUGUGUUCUAGUUCUGACCUGUGUGUGUUUUGGAUCAGGCCUGUGUUUGUGUGUUCUAGUUCUAACGUGUGUGUGUGUGUGUGUUCACAGGGAGAAGCUGUGUGUGGGGGGGACCCAGUUGGCAGAGCUUAA
rnacentral:lncRNA from 1 species